rnacentral:rRNA from 1 species
UACAGAGGGGGCAAGCGUUGUUCGGAAUUACUGGGCGUAAAGGGCGCGUAGGCGGCCUCUUAAGUCGAACGUGAAAUCCCCGGGCUCAACCCGGGAACUGCGUCCGAUACUGGGAGGCUUGAAUCCGGGAGAGGGAUGUGGAAUUCCAGGUGUAGCGGUGAAAUGCGUAGAUAUCUGGAGGAACAUCGGUGGCGAAGGCGGCAUCCUGGCCUGAUACUGACGCUGAUGCGCGAAAGCGUGGGGAGCGAACAGG